UACGUAGGGUGCAGGCGUUAAUCGGAAUUACUGGGCGUAAAGCGUGCGCAGGCGGUUUGCUAAGACAGGUGUGAAAUCCCCGGGCUUAACCUGGGAACUGCGCUUGUUACUGGCAGGCUUGAGUGUGGCAGAGGGGGGUGGAAUUCCAUGUGUAGCAGUGAAAUGCGUAGAGAUGUGGAGGAACACCGAUGGCGAAGGCAGCCCCCUGGGUCAAGAUUGACGCUCAUGCACGAAAGCGUGGGGAGCAAACAGG
rnacentral:rRNA from 1 species